AUGGACAGAGCUCCUGUGUGUCUGCUGGUGCUGCCAGGACUGAAAUGUCCUGGGUCUGCAAACAUCACUACUCGAGGCAGUGGAGUCUGUUUGGAGAAGCAGGAUAUUAAAGCAGAUUCGGAGCUCGGAGGAAGGUCUUCUGUACACACAGGACCUGGCGAGGACCUAUGGGGACGUGUGCUGCUGGUGGGUGGGGCCCUGGCAUGCAGUCAUCCGCAUCUUUCACCCCACCUGCAUCAAGCCGGUGCUCUUUGCUCCAGGUAGACACCCCGCUGGCCACAGAUUGCCUGCUGCUGAGGUCUCUGUGCUGCCUCCAGCUGGGCAGGUGAUCCAGUGCAGACAGGAGGGGCCGUGGUGGAGAUCACACUACCUCUGUCUUACCUAGAUCCCCACUUGCCUGACCGCUGGUCGUGUCUGCUCAUGCCGAGGCUGUGUCUGUGUGAUGUCUGCUGUAUGGCCCGUCUGGUCACAUUUGCAUUUCCACCUGGGUCCUAGUUACAGCUGGUAUAUGUUACACUUGGUUACGGCUAGUGCAUGUUACACUUGGUUACACGUGGUAUAUGUUAUAUUUGGUUACAGCUGGUAUAUGUUUACUCCUUGGAUCAAGUGGCGAUGGUCUGAGUCAUGUCUAGGGCUCAGCUGUGGUCAAGGACAUCGAGGCAUGUUGGAGUCUGUCUGGGUCUUGUCUGAUGCCGCCUGAGUGUGUCUGGUUCUCCUGCUGGUCAUGUCUGGGUUACAUUUGGGGUUUGUCUGAUCUCUGCGACCCGGGUCCCUGAGAGAAAUGCCUGAAACCUUAUAUGAGUCUUGUCUGAGGCAGGUCUUAGCAUAUUUCUGGAUCACAACUGGUCCACGUCUGUGACAUUAAUGGGACUGCGUUUAAGUCCUGUCUGUAGGACAUGCUGAGGUCAUGUCUUCAGGUCCAUGUCAGAGCACGUUGUGUGAUGUCAGGGUGUGUCAUGCAUGUUGUUUCAUGUCAGGACAUGUUAGUGCAUGGUGAGGCCAUGUCAGAUGUCCCAGGAGAUGUGACAGCUGGGCAGACACGGUGUCCCAGGUCCCUGUGAAGGUGUUUUGUAGAGUGCUGGGCUGUGCUCGGGUGUUUAGAACAUGUUGGAACCUGUAGGAGCCAUGCUGAGCCGUGCUGGGGCAUGUUGUGCCAUGUUGGGAUGCAUCUAAGCACGUAGGGGUGUGUCUGUGGCAUCUGCCCUUGCUCUACUCUACAGUGCA
rnacentral:lncRNA from 1 species